UUCACUUUGCUAUUAUUAAAAUGGAUGACAA
rnacentral:piRNA from 1 species